rnacentral:rRNA from 1 species
AGAGUUUGAUCAUGGCUCAGGAUGAACGCUAGCGGCAGGCUUAACACAUGCAAGUCGAGGGGUAGAGGUUGCUUGCAACCUUGAGACCGGCGCACGGGUGCGUAACGCGUAUGCAACCUACCUUUUACAGAGGGAUAGCCCAGAGAAAUUUGGAUUAAUACCUCAUAGUAUAUAUCUUUCGCAUGUUAGGUAUAUUAAAGUUCCAACGGUAAAAGAUGGGCAUGCGUCCUAUUAGCUAGAUGGUAAGGUAACGGCUUACCAUGGCUACGAUAGGUAGGGGUCCUGAGAGGGAGAUCCCCCACACUGGUACUGAGACACGGACCAGACUCCUACGGGAGGCAGCAGUGAGGAAUAUUGGACAAUGGGCGCAAGCCUGAUCCAGCCAUGCCGCGUGCAGGAAGAAGCAUCUAUGGUGUGUAAACUGCUUUUGUACAGGAAGAAACAUCCCGACGUGUCGGGACUUGACGGUACUGUAAGAAUAAGGAUCGGCUAACUCCGUGCCAGCAGCCGCGGUAAUACGGAGGAUCCAAGCGUUAUCCGGAAUCAUUGGGUUUAAAGGGUCCGUAGGCGGUUUGGUAAGUCAGUGGUGAAAUCCCGGAGCUUAACUUCGGAACUGCCUUUGAUACUGGGUGUCUUGAGUGUGAGAGAGGUAUGUGGAACUCCGAGUGUAGAGGUGAAAUUCGUAGAUAUUCGGAAGAACACCAGUGGCGAAGGCGACAUACUGGCUCAUUACUGACGCUGAGGCUCGAAAGCGUGGGGAGCAAACAGGAUUAGAUACCCCGGUAGUCCAA